rnacentral:SRP_RNA from 2 species
GCUGGGCAUGGUGGCGCAUGCCUGUAAUCCCAAUUACUCAGGAGGCUGAGGCAGAAGAAUCGCUUGAACCCGGGAGGUGGAGCUUGCAGUGAGCCGAGAUCGCACCACUGCACUCCAGCCUGGGUGACAGAGCGAGACUCUGUAUCAA